UGCGUAGGCGGAAGUAUAAGUCGAGGGGUGAAAGUUUGUGGCUCAACCAUAAAAUUGCCUUUGAUACUGUAUUUCUUGAGUACAUUUGAGGUAGGCGGAAGUGUGUUGUGUAGCGGUGAAAUGCUUAGAUAUAACACAGAACACCGAUUGCGAAGGCACGCUUAACUAAACUGUAACUGACGCUGAUGCACGAAAGCGUGGGGAUCGAACAGGAUUAGAUACCCUGGUAG
rnacentral:rRNA from 1 species